CUAACACAUGCAAGUCGAACGAGCGAGAGAGAGUUUACUUUUUCGAGCGAGUGGCGAACGGGUGAGUAACGCGUGAGGAACCUGCCUCAAAGAGGGGGACAACAGUUGGAAACGACUGCUAAUACCGCAUAAGCCCACGGCUCGGCAUCGAGCAGAGGGAAAAGGAGCAAUCCGCUUUGAGAUGGCCUCGCGUCCGAUUAGCUAGUUGGUGAGGUAACGGCCCACCAAGGCGACGAUCGGUAGCCGGACUGAGAGGUUGAACGGCCACAUUGGGACUGAGACACGGCCCAGACUCCUACGGGAGGCAGCAGUGGGGAAUAUUGCACAAUGGGGGAAACCCUGAUGCAGCGACGCCGCGUGGAGGAAGAAGGUCUUCGGAUUGUAAACUCCUGUUGUUGAGGAAGAUAAUGACGGUACUCAACAAGGAAGUGACGGCUAACUACGUGCCAGCAGCCGCGGUAAAACGUAGGUCACAAGCGUUGUCCGGAAUUACUGGGUGUAAAGGGAGCGCAGGCGGGAAGACAAGUUGGAAGUGAAAUCCAUGGGCUCAACCCAUGAACUGCUUUCAAAACUGUUUUUCUUGAGUAGUGCAGAGGUAGGCGGAAUUCCCGGUGUAGCGGUGGAAUGCGUAGAUAUCGGGAGGAACACCAGUGGCGAAGGCGGCCUACUGGGCACCAACUGACGCUGAGGCUCGAAAGUGUGGGUAG
rnacentral:rRNA from 1 species